rnacentral:rRNA from 1 species
UUAAGUGGAAAAGGAUGUGGCGUUGCCCAGACAACUAGGAUGUUGGCUUAGAAGCAGCCAUCAUUUAAAGAGUGCGUAAUAGCUCACUAGUCGAGUGACACUGCGCCGAAAAUGUACCGGGGCUAAACAUAUUACCGAAGCUGUGGAUUGUCCUUUGGACAAUGGUAGGAGAGCGUUCUAAGGGCGUCGAAGCAUGAUCGCAAGGACAUGUGGAGCGCUUAGAAGUGAGAAUGCCGGUGUGAGUAGCGAAAGACGGGUGAGAAUCCCGUCCACCGAUUGACUAAGGUUUCCAGAGGAAGGCUCGUCCGCUCUGGGUUAGUCGGGUCCUAAGCUGAGGCCGACAGGCGUAGGCGAUGGAUAACAGGUUGAUAUUCCUGUACCACCUAGUAUCGUUUUAAUCGAUGGGGGGACGCAGUAGGAUAGGCGAAGCGUGCUGUUGGAGUGCACGUCCAAGCAGUAAGGCUGAGUGUUAGGCAAAUCCGGCACUCAUAAGGCUGAGCUGUGAUGGGGAGAGGAAAUUGUUUCCUCGAGUCGUUGAUUUCACACUGCCGAGAAAAGCCUCUAGAUAGAUAACAGGUGCCCGUACCGCAAACCGACACAGGUAGUCAAGAUGAGAAUUCUAAGGUGAGCGAGCGAACUCUCGUUAAGGAACUCGGCAAAAUGACCCCGUAACUUCGGGAGAAGGGGUGCUGAUCAUACGAUCAGCCGCAGUGAAUAGGCCCAAGCGACUGUUUAUCAAAAACACAGGUCUCUGCAAAAUCGUAAGAUGAAGUAUAGGGGCUGACGCCUGCCCGGUGCUGGAAGGUUAAGAGGAGUGCUUAGCGCAAGCGAAGGUACGAAUUGAAGCCCCAGUAAACGGCGGCCGUAACUAUAACGGUCCUAAGGUAGCGAAAUUCCUUGUCGGGUAAGUUCCGACCCGCACGAAAGGCGUAACGAUUUGGGCACUGUCUCAACGAGAGACUCGGUGAAAUCAUAGUACCUGUGAAGAUGCAGGUUACCCGCGACAGGACGGAAAGACCCCGUGGAGCUUUACUGUAGCCUGAUAUUGAAAUUCGGCACAGCUUGUACAGGAUAGGUAGGAGCCUUUGAAACGUGAGCGCUAGCUUACGUGGAGGCGUUGGUGGGAUACUACCCUAGCUGUGUUGGCUUUCUAACCCGCACCACUUAUCGUGGUGGGAGACAGUGUCAGGCGGGCAGUUUGACUGGGGCGGUCGCCUCCUAAAAGGUAACGGAGGCGCUCAAAGGUUCCCUCAGAAUGGUUGGAAAUCAUUCAUAGAGUGUAAAGGCAUAAGGGAGCUUGACUGCGAGACCUACAAGUCGAGCAGGGUCGAAAGACGGACUUAGUGAUCCGGUGGUUCCGCAUGGAAGGGCCAUCGCUCAACGGAUAAAAGCUACCCUGGGGAUAACAGGCUUAUCUCCCCCAAGAGUCCACAUCGACGGGGAGGUUUGGCACCUCGAUGUCGGCUCGUCGCAUCCUGGGGCUGUAGUCGGUCCCAAGGGUUGGGCUGUUCGCCCAUUAAAGCGGUACGCGAGCUGGGUUCAGAACGUCGUGAGACAGUUCGGUCCCUAUCCGUCGUGGGCGUAGGAAAUUUGAGAGGAGCUGUCCUUAGUACGAGAGGACCGGGAUGGACAUACCUCUGGUGUACCAGUUGUCGUGCCAACGGCAUAGCUGGGUAGCUAUGUAUGGACGGGAUAAGUGCUGAAAGCAUCUAAGCAUGAAGCCCCCCUCAAGAUGAGAUUUCCCAACUUCGGUUAUAAGAUCCCUCGAAGAUGACGAGGUUAAUAGGUUCGAGGUGGAAGCGUGGUGACACGUGGAGCUGACGAAUACUAAUCGAUCGAAGACUUAAUC